AUAUUUGAGAACUGAAUAUUAGAAAAGCCGGGGAGGUGAAUUUCAGGUGGGGAGCAAGCACAAAAAACUUGAUUAGGCUGCGGAUUGCUGACCAUGAUAAGAGUUCAAGAAAGAAAUAAUUGAAAGUCCAGAAGAAUGUUCAUUGAGAGCACUAUAUGAACCCUCCCUCCCAUUGUGUGGAUUUGGUCACUGACUGGAUGUCAUGCAAAGGGUAGGAGGAGAGAAAACCUUACACAUUCCCAUUCUGCCCUGUGUGAGGUCUCAAAAGUAGUUAGUAUAAGUUAUAAAGGAAUUAUCUGCCUGUACUUUGUAUUGAUAAGCUACUUUUUAAUUUAAUUUAAUUUAAGUGAUACUUUGUUAGAAAUUGUCAAUGAACUUGAUAACAUCAAAAAAUGCAAGCUGAUAUUUUGGAUCACUAAGGCUGCAAUAUAUGCAGAAAUCUUAAAAUUUUUACUCAAAGUGAUUAUGAUUUUGUUUUGCCUAUUAGGUGAUUUUAUAUCUAAUGUUAAUACAUUCUAGAACUUUCAUAUGGGGAUAAAAUACUAAUAAUACUAAUAAUUAUUCACACACAGUAUUUCAAAAGUAAUUUUAAGUACAAUUUGAUUUUAGGUUAGUUGAUUUAUUUUU
rnacentral:lncRNA from 1 species